rnacentral:lncRNA from 1 species
CAUGGAGGAAGAGGAAGCAGACUCAUGGGAGUGGGGGCGUGGGGAGUGUAGGUUGUGAAACAAUACGAGAAACCUCCAGAGCUAGCAAAGAAAGUUUUGUUUCUGGAAUUUCGAAUUCAAACUUUUUUCACAGUCAACAUUUCUGUGACUAGAAGUUACACGUCUCAGCAGAUGCAUCCCUGUGGCUCAGGGCUCGCCCAUCGUUUUUGCUGAGUGCUUUGGCAGAUAUAACUCAUGGUGGAGAAGAAGAUGGAAAAGAGCACACGGAGAUGUUUCCCUAAAGCUUUCAGGUUUCAGUUCAAAAACCAUCAUUCUUUGUUUUUUCUCCUUUUUGAGAACGUCUGAAAUAAUCUCUCAAUCAGUUAAUACAGAAUUGCAUUGCUUUGCAAGUGUGUGACUCACUCACAUAAUUUCACAUCAUUAAAUGCCUCUUCAGAGAUGUAAAGCUCUUCAUUAUCCCUCUGCUAGAAAUGGAGGACAUGGCGAGAAAUUCCAGGGAGGCCUCUAUUUCUGACUCCUCACCUGUUUUUCUAGGGUCCUGAGUGCAAGGAAGGUCAUUAUUUGAAUAAGUCACAUCAAGUCAGGGCCAAAUGUUUUUCACUUGUAAGAUGGGACACUUUGUCUCAGGGCAAAAAUUACUGUUGACAGUCACACAGAGGAGCUGAGUGAACUGACCAAGAUUACAGUGUGUGACAGAGAUGUAGCUUGAGCAGAAGUCUCUUGAGACAAAGUUCAGCGCUCCCCCUCAGAUUCCUUCAAGGAGGCUACCCAUAGCUGAGAGAAGCGGAGGGGCUCUCUGUGAAGUCACUUGACUGGAGCGAAGGGUGGUUGGAUGAAGGCAAACGUGAGAUGAGGUUGCCCUUGGGGGAGCUUCAGAGCAGAGCUUGAGAUAGCCCAGAGUUGAACUUGAAAAAACCAAAGGUUAGAACCUUCAAAUAAGAACCAGAGAAGUGCCUUAAAAGGGUCCAUGUUCUUUAGGCAAACGAUUCUCUUCUUGGGAUUCAUCUGCAGGUGAGCUUAAUGGGUAUGAGCAGCGGUAUCCACAAAAACAGCCAGGGUAGAAUUGCUUAUAGCAUUGAUGUGAUGGGAACAGCCUAAACAGUCAACAGUAGGCAAGUGUCACAAUAAAGCAUGGCACAAUUGUAUAGUGGAAUAUUGU